UUAUGUCAGAUAAAAAGCAAAUUGUCCUGAAUUGUAAAAAUUAUUAUUAAAUACAUACACAAUCAAUUAUUUAAUCCGUUUCACUUAUUAUUCCAUUUUGCCAUAAAAAAAUGCCAUUAAAGAUAUCUCUAAGCCUAAUUAAUCCUCUGUACUUAUUUUUUACUGUUACGUUAUCAGAUUCGGGAACAAAGAUUCCGCACAAUUUGGCCAAGAAAAAUGUUUACCAAGACAGUAAAGAUAAUAUAAAGAUCCUAUAUAACGAAGCAUACGCAAAAACGUAUAAUCUUCAAAUGGAGACAAAUUAAUAUAUAAAUGAAUUAAUUUCAUUUCCCAUUAAAAUUCCACCGCGCCUCUCUACUUUACAAAAAAGGUAAAAACUAUCGUAAGUUUCGAGUGAUCCUAAUUCGAUGACCAUGGACUGUACACGACCAUGUGCUGUAUGAAUAGGGGGGCGUUUUCGCACACGCGUGCCUGAUGUUUCUUAGUCUCUCGUUCGUUUUCUGUCUCUCCGCUGCGCACCUUGACACAUAUAGAAAUUACGAAAUCGGAGGAGGAGCGCGGUUCGAACGGGAGCAACGGAGCUUUCGUGGCAUUAAAUUCCGAUAUACGCCGGUGACGGAUAUACGUAUUGCGCGUAAUUAGAGCGCGCUCCAUCGGUUUUUGCGAGAUCGUUGCACCAUCGAAAAGAUUCUGACGUUGGAGUGCAAGAGGUGGCGAGAAUCGAUGCUGUAUAGUACGACGGCUUGACUAUUGGUGUUCAUUAUCGGUGUUCAUUAGUAGUCGUAGAAUUUCUAGUUUGGCUUUUGGUUCGUUAGAACGCUGCCAAUCGAUUUUUUCGAGAUCGUUACACCAUCGAGAAGAUUUCGAUGUUGGAGCCCAAGAAGCGAACUAUCGAUGCAGUAUGGUAUGGCUUGGCUAUCGAUGUUUAUUAUUAUCGUUACGUUCAUUGGUAUUCGUAGAACUUCCAAGUUAAUUUUGGUUAAUUAGAACACGGUCCGUCAGUUUCUGCGAGAUCGUUGUACGCAGGCACAAGCUAAAUUUCAAUGAUGCUCUAAAACGUGUCAUUGGCCUCCCGCGUUGUCAAAACAUCGUGUGGAUAUGUUUCUACUUGGGGGUAAACAUACUCGUUAAGAAACUCGAACCACUAAUGAACAAUGCGAGUAUUCAGAGAAUCGUAAAACUAUCAACGUGAUAAUUGACAAAAUAGAUAAGCAAUACAAAUUUUACUAUCACCUUGAAGAAUAUCAUCUAUUGAGAAGUUCGAACGACGGAAAGCAAUUGAUGGUCGUGAAAACCCAAUGGACUAUCGAUAGUAUAAUACACUUAUCGGUAUGUCAAACAACAUUGACACGAUUUCUUCUAUAUCUCCUAACGAAAACAAGUUGAUACAUAGCGUAGAAAAUACUUGUGCUUCUACAACAAUAAUAAUUUACUCGCCUAGCAAUGAAUUUAUUUAUUUCUGCUCAUGUAAUUUUGUUUACGAUAAAUGAAUAAAUAUUAAAAAUAGGACACAGUGAUUUGUACCGCGUAGAAGAUGAAUUAGCGUGUCUUUGCUGGUAGAAUAUCACGAUAAAAUUGCUUUUUAAGGGCUAACACGCGAUAAAAAAAAUUCACAUUUGCAUUUUAUCGAACCAUGUGGGUCAAUCUUUUUUUUCUUGCUUGAAAAGUACUUUAUCUUCAGGUUGAUUGAUUCACAAAUUAUGAGUCAGACAGGGAAGGUUGUUCUAAUCUGACAGAAAAAAUAUUGGCAUAUCCAAGCAGUGAUAUCUAAAUCUGAUGAUUCUCGUAAUAUAAUGACCAGAUGCCGGACACCGUCAUAUGAAACAGUUCACCAAUUGCUCAUCGGCCAGAUACUUCCUCCAUAAGCAAACAAAAAUCGGGUAUACUGUAUCUCAAAAAUCGUCAUACGAUAUCAAAGAACAACUUUAUGGAAAGUAUUUGAUCAUUGUAUAUCAACUGAUUAUUAAUAGACUGCGGCUCUUUAUAUAAUUGUCUUUUUAAACGCACGUAAAGAAAUGGAAUCUAAAAUUUUCUUCAGUUUCUAGAUAUUGUAACAAGUACUCUACUUCCGAUUCUUGAUAUAUAAUUGUGCAUUCUCUGUAUUUUAAUAUUCACCGAUUCAUUGUCAUCGAUUACCAAUCAUAAGCCUCUUGCGUCGAUAAAUCAAGAAACAAACAUAACAUUUUUCAAAUUCUUGUUAAAAUGUGAAUUGCGCGUUAAUCAAAAGCUUCUUUCAUAGUCGAAGUACACUAUUCGUCAAAAAAUCGUCGAAUUCUAAAUUCUAAACAUCGGACCAGCGAAGUACGUUGGUCAGUGGAAGAGUUCGCGAACUAUUAAUAAAGUCUGGGCCUUUUGUCUUCAAGGUCGCCGAUUCGAUGAUAUCGAUGUCGCGGGUUUCCUACAAAAUAGUGGUAUAAAUACGCGUCGCGUUAGAAAAUAACGGCGCAGUUCAUGCUCGAUUCUCGCCCACGAGUUCGCGUUUCACGCGGAACUUUCCUGGCAUCAACGGAAACCGUUUCUGCCUGCGUGCAUCAUCGGCCGUUUCCGGGAGAGAGGAAAAUAAAAAAACGAUGAUUUAGAGCCAACGUGGUGGAAUUAGCGCGAAAAUAUCGCGUAAACGUUGGUUUAACGACAAAGAAGCGCAACGUUUAUGACAGCAUUCAAUACACGAACAAUACGUCCCUGUCUCGUACAGUGACUGCUGUUUGAUAAAUUUUCACAUCCAGUUUUAAAAACAUCUAUCCGCCACAGAAUCACCGCUAGCAAAUAUAUAUUUAGUCAGUGAAAUAUUUUGAACAAAUUCCACAUCCAUAGACACGACUGUGUUACAACGAAGAAGAGGCUUAGAAACGAUUCUUUAACGUACAUUCUGAGAAUGAGAAUAUUUUUUUGACAAGAUUUCUCCUCCUCUUUGAGCUUCCAUAGCCGAAUCUCAAGCUUCGAUGUUUAUCUGCUUGAUAACAGGGUUGAUAAGGAACUUGUUUUUCCAUUGAGAAAUAUAUUUGAUUUCGCGUGAUUAAAAAUUGAUAGUGAAUAAGUAUAGCGUACAGUUAUUCGACUGGUUUUGCUAAAUUUUGUACUACUUGUUCGACACAAUCGAUUAUGCGUCCUUUGUGUCCUGUAGAGUUGUAUAUCGGAAUCAACAACGUGACGUUCAUGGCCCUAUACUACUUGUCUGACAGAGCCACUGACGCACAGCGACCUAUACUACUUAUUCGAUACAAACGAUGACGCACUGUAUGCGUCCUAUGAAACUUACUGAUCACAGGACAUAAUGUUUAUGGCCCUAUACUACUUGUCUGAUACAGCCACUGACGUACAACGCGCACGCUGUACUACUUAUUCGAUACAAACGCUGACGCACCCUAUGCGUCUUAUGAAAUUUAGUAAUCACGGGACACGAUGUUUAUGGCCCUGUGUUACUUGUCUGAUACAGCCACUGACGCACAGCGUGCGACCUAUAUGUUCGAUACGAACGAUGACACACUCUAUGCGUUCUAUAAAACUUGUAUAAUCGUAAGACGCACUGUUUACGAUUCUAUACUAUUUGUCCGACACGAUUACUGACGCACAGCGUGCGACCUAUGCUUCUUAAACGACACAAACAGUGCAUAGUUAUUAAUCGUGCCAAUGAGAGAAAAUAAAUUUGAACAACAAAUGGAUACAAGUCAAGCUCCGAAGUGAACGAAUUAUUGCGACAUAAAACCUCUUUCUAGACAUGUACUCUAGACAGAAUUCCAAUCUAAAAAUUGGUAAUUUAUAUCUUAAAUACAUUUAGUAACCUUUGUGACAGGCAUACGAUGUAAAUUACAAUUACAAAUGUCCUGAAAUUAAACAAACCUGUAACCAAAAUUAUCAUAUAACGAUCACUUGUGAACGAAAAAGAGUUAUCCAAUGAAUUUGGGAUCAAAUCCCUAAAGCAACUAGGAAGUGGAAAGAACAAAGGCCGCGAAGAAAGAAGAUGAACCGACCAUACCACUGCGAUCUCCAACUGUAUUUCUCCGCUCGACGUUCGCACGCGUGUUUAUCGUGGUCGUGCGUACGAGCCUGCCAAAUAUAACCAAGAAGCGUGAAACGCGUGCGCCACGAUCGCCUCGUAAGAGCAGAGGCGAGCUAGAAAGCUCGCGGCGGGCUAGUCGUCAGCCGGCUCGUUUAAAUGUUAACGCGAGUGGCUGGUUAACUAGCGCUUUACUCGCUUGCUCUCUGGCUGUUUCAUUGGCCCGUUCCAUGUCACCGUUGCUGCUGUCGCGCUAUGGCAGAGGGCCAACCGAAACAAGUACACGCGUAGGCGAAUCGCGUGUUAGGCUAAGUUCUGGCUUAGAUCUGGAUGAUCGACGUCCGGAUCAUUACCGGGGUCUUGGCUUCUUUCCUCUUGUUUGGACGAUCGGCUUCGACCGCCACAGGGUGAUUCGUGGUGGAAUUUUCUUGGAACCGACACGAAGGAGGAGCAAGAAUGGUUUUGUCUUACGCGGGUGCCUCAGCUUCCGGCGAACCGGCUUCCCUGCCGGCGCGUUUCCCGACGACGAUGCGGAGGACGACGGUGUUGCGCUGGCCAUCUGGCGCAAACUCGCACUAAAACCGCGGCGAAACCGCGUGACGAGUCCCCCUCGAAAAUAGUCGCCGGUCGAAAAUAGCCGACGCUGGCUAAGAAAGAAGAAUCAUCGGCAUUUGCUCCGGGUACACGCGUCGCCGCGCUAGUUGCAUCGCGGCCUUCUCCAGAGGCUGAUUCCCCAUGUGUGCAUCGCGUACCGAUCUUCCUCUAUCUUCUUUUCGGUCUUUUUCUUCCACUAAAUCGUUUCCUCUUUUUCCUAUUUUCUCUCGGGUUACGUUCGCGCAUUGUUUGAACUUUUCUCACUCAAUUUACCCUAUCACAUUCUGUCUGUAAAAAAUGAAUUCCAAAGGUUCGCUUAACAUCUUUCUAACACAUUUCUUCUACUUGGAUUUUACAAUUUUAUGAAAUUUCCACAGAUUUAUGAUAAAUCAUUGCUCGCUCCUUGAUGGGAUAAUCGAUGGUCUUCAAAUACCGCAAAAAUCCAUCGCUAUGCUCCUUCUACCUCCUAAGAUAGAUGUAGAAUUUGACUUUUUCUUCUCGCUUCAUUCCGUUCUUCUUUGCUCUUUGAUCGAUCCUUUUCUUUUGCUCGUGUCCACGUAUUUAUAUCGUCCAGAGGUCUGUCGAACGGGACGCGCAAGAGACAACACGGAUAUCCUUGCUUUUCAUAGAUACCGAUAGUGGAGACACGCAGGGGGAGCGAGUUGUAUACGUGGGGGAUGAUUCGCCAGAUCUACGUUCCAGCGAAUGCAAUGUGAAAAAUUCACGAGAAGAUAAUGGACUAACCGCAAAAAUCAAGGCUUGUGUACAUGGUGGACGUAUACACCAUGUGUAGACAUCCUAUGUUAAUAUAUCUUUAUUCAAUAUAUCGUGUAUUGCAUUGUGUGCGUGUGUGACCACGUGUAGAAUUUUGUUAACCAUUCACGAACAGAAACCUUGUGUGACGCACAUCUGUAAAUAAAAGUCUGUAUAUGCUUUGUAGAACUUUAUGAACAGUCUGUAGACAUUCAGAAACUUAAUGCGACGUACAUCUGCGGACAAAAAUUUGUAUGCGUCUCUUUAUAGGAUUUUAUGAAUAGUCUGCAGAUAUAUAGAAAUUUAUAUUCGCAUUUUAUAAAAUUGGUGUAUUUAAAUAAGAAGAUAUGUUCACAAGUAUAACUUUAUAUACUUUACACAAAAUUCACAUAUUUGUAAAUGUUUGUAUUGGCAUUGUGUACAGAUAUGCGUUCGUGCAUAAGGAUUCUGAUAUCUACAAGCAGCCUGCAUGAAUUUCUAAAAGAUGCACACGCAAUAUGCUAUAAUAUGCAGCACACGAUAUAAUAGUUCACACGCAAUACUAUUUGCAAGUUUGUACACAUCUUGGUAACUGAACUUUUCAUCCCUUGCGUGUACGACAUUUACAAAAAAAAGAAAAAGAAAUUAGGACAGAUUACUCAUAUUUUGUAACUUUUUACUCCUGUUAAUUGCUGACUGCAGCAGAUGUAAUUAUUUAAAACCAAUGUAGUUCUUUUUUCAGUAAAACCUUUGUUAAACAUACAUAUAUAUGUUCUUCAUCUUUAAACACCUAGAUUCAACGAAUAUAUGAAACAGAUAUCCUUGAACCACCAAGUCUUCAAACCAUUAAUCUUUGAAUGAAAAUAAUAUUUUACCACCCAAAAAAUAAAGAAUAUUUAAAGUA